rnacentral:lncRNA from 1 species
CCCCUUUCCCUUCUUCCUCAUUGUCAGUAGCCGUCGGUUGUCGUAAUCAAGCCUAAUUAUCCGAAACCUCCUCUUUUCCUCUUAAAUUCUCUGUUUUUCCACUUUUUCGGAGAUCUGGGCUAUUCUGCUUGGAACCGGCAUCAUCGACCAAGCCACCAUCGCCGCUUGCACCUGGCCGCGCCACCAUUGCUCGAUCACUUGGCCGUCGGACGCUACCAGCCCCACCCAUCCUUCC